ensembl:lncRNA
GUUUCUAGCCAGUAGCUAUGAUGUAGCUAUAGUUUUUAGCCAGUAGCUAUGAAGUAGCUAUAGCUUUUAGCCAGUAGCUAUGAAGUAGCUAUAGUUUCUAGCCAGUAGCUAUGACGUAGCUAUAGUUUUUAUCCAGUAGCUAUAGUUUUUAGCCAGUAGCUAUGAAGUAGCUAUAGUUUCUAGCCAGUAGCUAUGACGUAGCUACAGUUUUUAGCCAGUUGCUAUAGUUUUUAGCCAGCAACUAUGAAGUAGCUAUAGUUUUUAGCCAGUGGCUAUGAAGUAGCUAUAGUUUCUAGCCAGUAGCUAUGACGUAGCUAUAGUUUUGAGCCAGUAGCUAUGAAGUAGCUAUAGUUUUUAGCCAGUAGCUAUGAAGUAGCUAUAGUUUUUAGCCAGUAGCUAUGAAGUAGCUAUAGUUUUUAGCCAGUAGCUAUGAAGUAGCUAUAGUUUUUAGCCAGUAGCUAUGAAGUAGCUAUAGUUUUGAGCCAGUAGCUAUGAAGUAGCUAUAGUUUUUAGCCAGUAGCUAUGAAGUAGCUAUAGUUUUUAGCCAGUAGCUAUGAAGUAGCUAUAGUUUUUAGCCAGUAGCUAUGAAGUAGCUAUAGUUUUUAGCCAGUAGCUAUGAUGUAGCUAUAGUUUUUUAGCCAUAGCUAUAGUUUUUAGCCAUUAGCUAUGAAGUAGCUAUAAGUCCAGCAAAGCUUGUGACUUUGAUGAAGAUCACAUGAGAUCACAUUCCAUGUCCUCUUUUUCUCAGCCAUACAAAGCUCCAAACUCUUCACCUUUUAAAACAUGUUUUCUCUACACAUGACAUUGCUACUAGUUUUAUAGCCAGUAGCUAUGAUGUAGCUAUAGCUUUUAGCCAGUAGCUAUAGUUUUUAGCCAGUAGCUAUGAAGUAGCUAUAGUUUAGGAAGAAUUGCUAAUGUAGAAUCCCCUCUGUUUUAUGAUGAUCAGGAACUAAUACAAGGCAAGCGAUACGUCUCAAGUUAGAAAUGAAUGGUUAAUAUGUAAUAUUAUUAAAGAGUCUUAAACAGCUUUCCAGAGGAAACAGCGUCUGCCUGGACGCCUCCUCCUCCUCCUUUCCUGUAUGAAUUGACAAGGCGAAAAAUUUCAAUAACAGACUAUCUAACCUCGAGCCAAGGCCGCCUGGCAGCUCGCAUAUUUUCCUGCCUGUAUUAUCUCACGAUAUGUGCAGUGUAAGGUUUCCAGAAAGAACAAUAAACAGCUAGCAAAAGAGGUGCUCUUCUUGUUGGGUUUACACCCUCCCCCGACUUCGCUUUUUUCCCCUUCCUGUGGCUGAACUUUGUUUUGUUUUAUUUUUUUUGUUUUUUUUGUGCCAAACACAAUCCCUGAGCUCGCCCAAUCGUGCCUGUGUGUCUCAGCCCGUGGCGAGUCUCUGAUGACCUGACAGACGGACCGCGUCUCCAAUUCUGCCCACUCUUUAACUGUGGAACGUUUGGUCAUGCGCAGGAAAUAACUGGAGAGAAGAAUAGUGUGUAUUCUCCACUCCAGGAUCAGAUUCUCAGUGCGAAAACAGAGAGAUGGAGUAGCCAACAGGAUUUGAUAUUUAAAACCCUGGAAUAAAAUCAAUGUGAAACAUUACACAGGCGAACCCGGGGACCCUCGAGCCGAAGGGGCGGCAAUGCUAAGCACUAUACCACUACUACGCAUUUGGCCAAGGUAAUUCUUUUCUUAAAGUAAGUCUUUUCUUCCUGCGAGUGCCAACAUCUUAGCGUCGACUCCUCAUCUUCUCACGAGAUCGGAUCCCGUUAAUACCAGGGUACUGGAUCACACUCACUCGACAUAAUUCAAGAUGACAGAUUCGAUUUUUUUGUUUACGUUAAAUUGACUGUAAGCAAUGAAAUCACGUUUUGAAGAGUAAAUAUGAAAGUCGAUC